GAAAUGCGAUACGUAGUGUGAAUUGCAGAAUUCCGUGAACCAUCGAAUCUUUGAACGCAUAUUGCGCUCGAGCCCUCGGGCAAGAGCAUGUCUGCCUCAGCGUCGGUUUACACCCUCACCCCUCCCACUUUUGUUGGGUGUGUUGGCUUCUAUGCCAGCCAUAGGGGUGGAUCUGGCUUCCCCAAUUCGCUGUAGUGGAUUGGGUUGGCUGAAGUAUAGAGGCUUAAGCAAGGACCCGAUAUGGGCUUCAACUGGAUAGGUAGCACCGGCUUUCGCCGACUACACGAAGUUGUUGCUUGUGGAUCUUGCUAGAGGCCAAGCAGGAACGUGCCUGUGGCAUGUCUAAACUUUCGACCUGAGCUCAGGCAAGGCUACCCGCUGAACUUAAGC
rnacentral:misc_RNA from 1 species